UCCGGGAUUUACUGGGCGUAAAGGGUGCGUAGGUGGUUUCUUAAGUCAGGACGUGAAAGGCUACGGCUUAACCGUAGUAAGCUCUUGAAACUGGGAAACUUGAGUGCAGGAGAGGAAAGUGGAAUUCCUAGUGUAGCGGUGAAAUGCGUAGAUAUUAGGAGGAACACCAGUAGCGAAGGCGGCUUUCUGGACUGUAACUGACACUGAGGCACGAAAGCGUGGGGAGC
rnacentral:rRNA from 1 species